AUUGAACGCUGGCGGCAGGCCUAACACAUGCAAGUCGAACGGUAACAGGAAGAAGCUUGCUUCUUUGCUGACGAGUGGCGGACGGGUGAGUAAUGUCUGGGAAACUGCCUGAUGGAGGGGGAUAACUACUGGAAACGGUAGCUAAUACCGCAUAAUGUCGCAAGACCAAAGAGGGGGACCUUCGGGCCUCUUGCCAUCGGAUGUGCCCAGAUGGGAUUAGCUAGUAGGUGGGGUAACGGCUCACCUAGGCGACGAUCCCUAGCUGGUCUGAGAGGAUGACCAGCCACACUGGAACUGAGACACGGUCCAGACUCCUACGGGAGGCAGCAGUGGGGAAUAUUGCACAAUGGGCGCAAGCCUGAUGCAGCUAUGCCGCGUGUAUGAAGAAGGCCUUCGGGUUGUAAAGUACUUUCAGCGGGGAGGAAGGGAGUAAAGUUAAUACCUUUGCUCAUUGGCGUUACCCGCAGAAGAAGCACCGGCUAACUCCGUG
rnacentral:rRNA from 1 species